GAUUUUCAGUAUAUAUCUUAUGCUUAUGGUGAUGGUUGGUGAAGGGGAUUUUGAGUGUACCCUUAGUGAAGAUGUUCGGAAAGUUUGGGAAAGAGCAACUCGGGAUGAUCGUAAUAGGAAAAAGGUGACGAGAACACAUUUACUUGUAGCUUGCUGGUGGGUAUUAUGGAUUGAAAGGAACAAUUAUAUUUUUAGAGGGAUCAAUAUUGAACCAUUAGCGGCAGUAAAUAGGAUCAAAUCGCUAGUAAAGCAAUGGAAGGAUUUCUAGUGGACUGUCAUAAUUUACAUUAGCUAGUAAUUGCUUUUUUUUUUGUUUUUUUUUUAAUCGGACCUUGUAUGGGACGUUUAUGAUUCUCGGGGCUAGUUGCCCCACUUCUGUAGCUUAGUUCAUAUUCGCUAUGAAUGAAGCAGGCAGCAAGUCUACCUUGCUCUCUAAAAAAAAAAAAACAUUUUUCCCCCUAGGGGAAGCUCGUACGCAAUACAUUUGGCGAAGAUCCUAUAUUUUCGUGAAACAAUUUAAGAGAAAUGGAGGAACACGAAAAUGAACUAAGAUCCUAUAAUUUUAUCAAACAAAAAAAAGAACAGAAAGGUAUAAGAAAUUGAAUAUCGAAAUAAGAUUAUCCAAUAUAUAAAGAUUUUAUUAUGAAAUUUAAAAUUAGGAUUUUAUUUUUUCUCGAAAGAUUUUUUUUUUUUGAGAGAUAGAUAGCACGCUAUCCGCUUCGUUUAUUUUAUUUAGAAAUAAAUAAACUUAGCUAGAAAUGUGAACCUACUAGGAUUCGAACUUGAGACCUCAGGUACCAACCACCAAGCCCUUUGUCACUUGCUUUAGGGACGGUCCGUUCCUCAAAAGAUCUUAACAUCUAUAAUUUAGUAGAAUAGUAUGGUCACCUACAAAAUAAUUUAUCUUAUUGGAGAGCAAUUAUUUGAAGACCAAAUACAAUAUCCAAUCUAAAUAUUUGAUCAUGCAUCAACUUUCAAAUACAGUACACAUUUUAAAGAAAUUAAAAAAUAUGCCGAAUAAAAUGUUCAUGCAUCUCAAAAGCCCAAAGAAAAUAAAGGAGUAAGAUAUUUAAAUUUAGAGUAAUACUUCAAUACAUUAUGUAAAUUUUGACCAUUUAUUUUUUUAAAUAGAUGGUUGAGCUGUAAUAUGAUUUUGGCAUAGGUACCAUUCACGAGGUACCUAUUUAAAGGGCAUUUUGGUCUUAGAAAAAUAUUUUGGCCUACAAAAUCAGUUUUAUCUAACUAAGAAUACUAUAACUUUCUCAAAUACCUAUAACAAUAGUUGGAAUUCAAAUUACAACUAAACUGUAAAUUUAAAUACAAAGCAAUAUAAAAAACUUAAUUAUAAAUCAAAUUUAACUUUUAAAUAUAAAACACAAAUUUAAAAUUAAACUUUCAGUUCAAAUUCAAAAUUUUAAUUUAAAUCAAAAAUUAAAAUUUGGCUUACAGAUUAAAAGUGCAAUGUAGAUCAAAAUUUAAAAGUUUAAUAUAAAUUUUGAAAUUAAAAUUUUACAUUACAAUACCAACUUCAAAACUUAAAUUUAAAUUCAAUAUUUUUUUGAUUGGAUAACAAAUUGGGUAUUAUCUAAUUUGGUAAGUAACAAAACUAAAUAAGAUAUUUAAUAUGUACUACUAAUUUUUUUUCUAAUAUUAUCAUAUUAACUAAUUCAAAUCGGUAACCUGUUCAAUAGGUUACUUCAUAAAAAAUCCAACUAUACCCUUUACUAAUUAAGAAUUUGAUUUUAAUACUUAUAGUAUAUUGAAGUAUUGCUCUUAAAUUUAAAGCUCAUUAAAUAGAACCUUA
rnacentral:lncRNA from 1 species